AGUCAAACAGAGGAUAGGUGGAGCUGUUUCUCUCCCUCAGCGCUGCACUCUUUAUAGGAGAGCAGAAUGAAUGGAGCACAGAACAGCAGAGUACUGUCCAGAUAACACACAGCUACUCUCCCUCAGCCUGCGGCCCACACUCCUUGGACCUCAUGAUGGCUUUUUCUACUUCCACCAUCGCUGCUCUGAUGCUGACCCUGCAAGGUUUGGAAGCGGCUCUCGUUUUAACCCAGGAGAAGACCCUCUCUGUGAACAGAGGAGACAAUGUCAAAAUAUCCUGCACUGAAACUGACAGCAGUGGCAACUAUGUGUUGUCCUGGUUCCAGCAGAAGAGUGGUUCACCGCCAAAGUUUUUACUUUACACAACUGGCAGUAGUGCAAGUGGCGUUCCCAGUCGGUUUACAUAUUCUGGUACAAGAGGUGACAAAACAGAGUAUCUACUGAUUAAUGGCAUUCAAGAUGAAGACAAGGCGACAUACUACUGUGCAUGUGUCCGCUGUGACUCUCCAACCUUCUUUGGUGGCGGCACUGAAGUCAUUCUUGCUGGUUCCCCGUCCCCCCCCAGUCUGGAGCUGAUGGUGGCCACCCAGCCUCCUGUCCCGGGGCUGGGGGGGCCCACUCUGGUGUGCCUGGCUAAGGGCUUCCACCCGGCCGGGGCCGCCCUGUCCUGGUCCGAGGACGGAGCCUCUGUGAGGGGCGAGGAGGUCCAGGCGGGCGUGGCCCAGCGGCAGCCUGAUGGAAGCUACUCCCUUAGCAGCGUCCUCCUGCUGCCCUCCACAAGGUGGCGCUCAGGACACACCUUUACCUGCCAUGUGAGCCACUCUGCUCUCAGCAGCCCGCUGAGCAAGAGUGUGAGCAGCCAGCAGUGCUCCCUCUGACAGAGGACGAGAAGAUACAGGGAGCGCUACAGGAGGACGACAUGAGGAGAAAUAGAGUAGAGUACGCAACCUUUUAGCGGCUUGGUUGGCCUGAGAUCCAGGCUCAUGUCCUUCAGCUCCGAGUGAAAUACUUCACCAUGUUUUAAUGCUUUACUGUUUUCAAUAAAACUGCUUGAUCAUGA